CCCGGGUGUAGUGGUGCACACCUGUCAUCCCAGCAGCUAAGGAGGCUGAGGCCGGAGGAUCACAAGUUGGAGGCCAGCCUCAGCAAUUUAUCAAGGCCCUCAGCCACUUAGAGAGACCCUGUCUCUA
rnacentral:sRNA from 1 species